AACGUCGUUUUGAGCCAAGUCAUUAAAAAAAUUAAAACCCCACUGCUCACUCACGUGAGAACCCUCAAACUCGGCUCCUUCACACAGCAAUCAGAACUCCACUUUACCAAAUCGUUCAACUCUCUUCGUUCUCGUUACCAAAUCUUUCACACAACAAGGUCCGCUCUCGUUCCUUACGGCGUCGACAUCAAUCAACUUUCUUCUACACUGCACUCUAGUUUCUGAAUCUGAAUCUGAUUGCUUGCACUGCACAACAAUCAGAACUUCACUCUCUUCUCACUCUCGUUCCUUCAGGGACUAUUUCGUAGAGUAUAGAGAGUUGAUCAAGCUGCAGCCUUUGGAAGGCGUAAACUAUAUAUUCUACAAUCUGUGUGUUUCUCACAAGUGCAAGAAAUUAGAAGUAUGGAACGAUAUUACAAGCGAAAAUCAUCAUCGAUUAGUUCGGACAAUCAUAUUCCAAAUAGUUCAUCUCCAAACUUGGAUAGUUCCAAUCCUAUUCCGAACAGUUCCCCUCCAAUUCCAAGUAGUUCUAAUCCAAUUGGUAGUAAUUCCACUCCACAACAAAAUGAGUUAAAAGUUGAUUUGGAUAAACUUGAGAGAGAUCCCGGAAAGAGAAUUCCAAUGAAGGAUUAUCCUCCAGAUAUUCGAGAUGAGGUCCGAAGAGCAUAUAUAUUAAUGGAGCCUUUUAGAGCUAAAGAUCAUGAUUUUCCAUUCACUUUACAUUCAAAUAAAAAGCGACGGUUCGUUGAUAAUUGGUUGAAGGAAUUUCAUUGGUUGGAAUAUAGUAUAUCUAAAGAUGCUGCAUUUUGCUUUUAUUGCUAUCUAUUCAAAGUCAACUUUGAACAAUCAGGCAGUGACAUCUUUACUGAGGUAGGCUUUCAAAAUUAGAAGCAUGCAAGAGCCUGUUUUGAAAAACAUGUGGGGGUGGUUGGUAGCUUUCACAAUAAAGUUGUUGAAGCUGCUGGUAAUCUAAUGAAUCAAAAGACACAUUGAAACAGUUUUGGUCAAACAGUCAAAAGAAGCUCGUAUGGCUUAUCGCAUUUGCUUGAAUGCGUCGAUUGAUUGCACUAAGUUUUUGUUGCGACAAGGUCUUUCAUUUCGUGGUCAUGAUGAAAGUGACACUUCAAACAAUAGAGGUAACUAUUUGGAGCUCUUGCAAUUCCUUGCGGAUCAUGAUGAGAAAAUAAAGGCCGUUAUGUUAGAUAAAGCUCCGGAAAAUCUCAAGCUAAUAGCUCCUUCAAUUCAAAAAGAUCUUGUUCAUUCAUGUUCUAUUGAAACCAUUAAAACUAUCAUAAGUGAUAUGAAGAAUGCUAGGUUCUUUUCUCUAUUGGUUGAUGAGGCACGUGAUGUUUCUAUAAAGGAGCAAAUGGCGGUGGUUUUGCGUUAUGUGGACAAAAAUGGGAAAGUCAUUGAAAGGUUUGUAAGAGUUCAACAUGUUCCCGACACCACUUCAAACACAUUAAAGGAGUCUAUUGAUUCCUUAUUUCAUUUCAAUGAGUUGAGCUUCUCCAAUUUACGAGGGUAAAGUUACGAUGGUGCAAAUAAUAUGAAAGGUGAGUUCAAUGGACUCAAGACAAAGAUUUUGAAUGAUCAACCUUGUGCAUUCUAUGUUCAUUGCUUUGCUCAUCAACUCCAAUUAGCUCUUGUUGCCGUAGCAAAGAAUAAUGUUGAUGUUAACACAUUCUUUCUAUUGGCUAAUAAUGUGGUAAAUAAUAUUGGAGCUUCAUGUAAGCGUCGUGAUGCACUUAGAGAGAUGCAACAAAAAGAACUUAUGAAAGCUCUUGAAAAUGAUUCUCUUAUGACGGGACGAAGCUUAAAUCAAGAAACUAGUCUCAAACGUGCCGGAGCUACAAGAUGGAAUUCACAUUAUGGUACUUUGCUUAGUUUGAUUACUAUGUUCUCAUUCGUGGUCAAUGUGCUUGAAAUGAUUGUUGAUGAUAAUACCAAUGAUAAUGUGGCUGAAGCAAAUAAGUUAUUGAAAAACAUACAAUUUUUUAGUUUAUGUUUCUCUUAUUUUUUAUGAAAUCUAUAUUGGGAAUCAUGAAUGAUUUAUCACAAGCAUUACAAAGGGAUGAUCAAGAGAUUGUGAAUGCAAUGGCUUUAGCCAACACAUGUAAAGAACAACUACUCUACAUGAGGAAUGAUGAGGGGUUUGACCUUUUGGUUGACAAAGUAUUGUCAUUUUGUGUCCAACAUCAUAUUGAGGUUAUUAACAUGGAUGAGACAUAUGUAGCUCAUGGGAGGUCGAGCCGUAAUACCCACAAAAAGACCAACCGUCAUCGUUACAAAGUGGAGCUCUUUUUUGUUGUCAUUGAUUACCAACUUACAGAGUUAAAUGAUCGCUUCAAUGAAACAAGUACCGAAUUGCUCAUUUGUUUGGCUAGUUUGAGUCCAAAUGAUUCUUUUGCAGCUUUUGACAAAGAAAAGCUACUUUGCCUUGCUCAAUUGUACCCUCAAGAUUUUACGAAGCAAGACCUAUUGGCACUUGAAGAUCAACUCAAUAUUUAUUCAUUCUAUGCUUUCGAAAAGUGACUUUUCUCAGUUGCAAAGCAUUAGUGAUCUUGCUAAGAAAAUGGUCAAAAAAAGGUUGCAUCGAGUAUUUCAAUAUGUGUAUUUACUUAUUGAAUUGGCUUUGAUUUUACCUGUUGCAACUGCUUCAGUAGAGAGAGCAUUUUCUGCCAUGAAUAUCAUUAAGUGUCCACUUCGCAACAGAAUGGAGGAUCAAUGGUUAAAUGAUAGCUUAGUUGUUUAUAUUGAGAAAGAUGUUUUUUCUUGUAUUGACAAUGAAACUAUCAUGACACGUUUUCAAAGUAUGAGAUCCCGUCGUGGACAAAUUUAGUAUUUCUAGCUUGUUUAGCACAAAGAUUAUGAAUGAAAUUUGUAGUUUGCCAUUUAUUUGUUCAA